CCUACGGGGGGCAGCAGUGAGGAAUAUUGGUCAAUGGCCGAGAGGCUGAACCAGCCAAGUCGCGUGAGGGAAGACGGCCCUACGGGUUGUAAACCUCUUUUGUCGGGGAGCAAAGCGAGUCACGUGUGACUCAUUGAGAGUACCCGAAGAAAAAGCAUCGGCUAACUCCGUGCCAGCAGCCGCGGUAAUACGGAGGAUGCAAGCGUUAUCCGGAUUUAUUGGGCGUAAAGGGAACGCAGGCGGUCUUUUAAGUCUGAUGUGAAAGCCUUCGGCUUAACCGGAGUAGUGCAUUGGAAACUGGGAGA
rnacentral:rRNA from 1 species